rnacentral:rRNA from 1 species
CCUACGGGAGGCAGCAGUGGGGAAUAUUGGGCAAUGGGCGCAAGCCUGACCCAGCAACGCCGCGUGAAGGAAGAAGGCUUUCGGGUUGUAAACUUCUUUUAUCAGGGACGAAGCAAGUGACGGUACCUGAUGAAUAAGCCACGACUAACUACGUGCCAGCAGCCGCGGUAAUACGUAGGUGGCAAGCGUUAUCCGGAUUUACUGGGUGUAAAGGGCGUGUAGGCGGGAGUGCAAGUCAGAGGUGAAAACUAUGGGCUCAACCCAGAGCCUGCAGUUGAAACUGUACUUCUGGAGUGCUGGAGGGGCAGGCGGAAUUCCGGGUGUAGCGGUGAAAUGCGUAGAUAUACGGAGGAAAACCAGUGGCGAAGGCGGAUUGCGGGACAGAAACUGACGUUGAGGCGCGAAAGCGUGGGGAGCAAACAGGAUUAGAUACCCCAGUAGUC